rnacentral:rRNA from 1 species
ACCCGCACAAGCAGCGGAGCGUGUGGUUUAAUUCGUUGCUACACGAAGAACCUUACCUGGGUUUGACAUAUAGGUUGUAGGGAACUGAAAAGGGACCGACCCUUCGGGAGCUUAUACAGGUGUUGCAUGGCUGUCGUCAGCUCGUGUCGUGAGAUGUUCGGUUAAGUCCGCUAACGAGCGCAACCCUCGCCGUAUGUUACAAGUGUCAUACGGGACUGCCGGUAAAAGCCGGAGGAAGGUGAGGAUGAUGUCAAGUCAGCAUGACCUUUAUAUCCAGGGCUACACACACGCUACAAUGGUCUGUACAAUUGGUUGCCAAGCCGCGAGGCGGAGCCAAUCCGUAAAGCAGGCCUCAGUUCAGAUUGCAGUCUGCAACUCGACCGCAUGAAGCCGGAGUUGCUAGUAACCGCAGGUCAGCAAUACUGCGGUGAAUACGUUCCCGGGUCUU